rnacentral:rRNA from 1 species
UACGUAGGGUGCGAGCGUUAAUCGGAAUUACUGGGCGUAAAGCGCGCGUAGGCGGAUCUGCAAGUCGGGGUGAAAGCCUGUGGCUCAACCACAGAAUUGCCUUCGAUACUGUAGAGCUUGAGACCGGAAGAGGUAAGUGGAACUGCGAGUGUAGAGGUGAAAUUCGUAGAUAUUCGCAAGAACACCAGUGGCGAAGGCGGCUUACUGGUCCGGUUCUGACGCUGAGGCGCGAAAGCGUGGGGAGCAAACAGG